rnacentral:misc_RNA from 1 species
GAGAGAGAGAGAGAGAGCGUGUGUCUUGAGAGUGAAACUCUUGUAUGUGUCGGAGUAUUAGUGUGAGUGAUAGAAAUACUAAAGUGUUAAGGUGUGAGCUUGAGUUGUAAAUUCUCUUUAGUCCAUUAUAAUAAAACUUUAUUUUCACUCUAGUCUAUUUUAAGCUUUUUGGAGUUUCUAUUUCUUUAUGCUCCUAAUGUUUCAACAAUUUAGUAUCAGAGCCUAAUGGUCCGAACCACUGGUCAGAGUAUUGCUUGAAGUGCAACUCAAAGUUCUGCUUGUGUACACUCUGGGAUUAAGAAGUUUGUUAGUCCAGGACCACACUUACUUGGUAUUAUAAAUGAGAUUAUACCAAGUCACGAUGGCAAAUUCAACUAGUGUUGUGGGGAGCAUUAAGAAGUUGAAUGGUGC